UGCCAGCCGCCGCGGUAAUACGAAGGGACCUAGCGUAGUUCGGAAUUACUGGGCUUAAAGAGUUCGUAGGUGGUUGAAAAAGUUGGUGGUGAAAUCCCAGAGCUUAACUCUGGAACUGCCAUCAAAACUUUUCAGCUAGAGUAUGAUAGAGGAAAGCAGAAUUUCUAGUGUAGAGGUGAAAUUCGUAGAUAUUAUGAAGAAUACCAGUGGCGAAGGCGGCCUCCUGGAUCUGUACUGACACUGAGGUGCGAAAGCGUGGGUAGCGAACAGGAUUAGAUA
rnacentral:rRNA from 1 species